UACAGAGGUCCCAAGCGUUGUUCGGAUUCACUGGGCGUAAAGGGUGCGUAGGUGGCCGGGUAAGUCUGACGUGAAAUCCCUCGGCUUAACCGGGGAACUGCGUCUGAUACUGGAUGGCUUGAGGUUGGGAGAGGGAUGCGGAAUUCCAGGUGUAGCGGUGAAAUGCGUAGAUAUCUGGAGGAACACCGGUGGCGAAGGCGGCAUCCUGGACCAAUUCUGACGCUGAGGAGCGAAAAGCGUGGGGAGCAAACAGG
rnacentral:rRNA from 1 species